CUCACGGUAAAUACUGUCCAGCAUCAACCAAAGUUAGCAACAGUCUGACGCAGGCACAGCAUGCAACGCGGGUUUUGUUUUGUUUGAAAACAUGGCGGAAGGCAGUGACAGUGCUCAGGAGAUUUUUCAGUCUUCUAAGAGGACCAAAUCUGAAGUGUGGUCGUAUUUUGGGUUUUACAAGAGUGCCGAGGGAAACUUAAUCAAAGAUGGUCACCCUGUCUGCAGAACAUGCAAAAAUAAAAAUCGCUGCCAAAGGGGGUAACACUUCAAAUCUCUCGAGUCAUCUUUGUGACCACCACCCACUACUUUAUAGCGAAUGCAAGAGUGGGCGUGCAGCAGGUAAACCUAUUGAUGCUACUGGUCCCUCAUCAUCUACAGUUGUGACAGACACUCAAGCGGCCUGCCUUUUAAACGCUUGCUCAUGCACCCACAUCCAAAAACGCGCAAGACCACUGCAGCCCUUUCAUAUUACAUUGCAAAGGACAUGAUGCCAUUUCAAAUUGUUGAGAGGCCUGGCUUUCUGAGGCUGUAGUGAGGCACGGCAGUGAGUGCUGCUCAUUUUAUUUAUUUGAUUUGCUUACUUAAAAAGGGAAACUUUUACCUCAUGGCGCCAUCUUUAAUGUUAAUGCACACAAAAACAUGCAUAGUGCUGCUAAUUUUACAUUUGUUGGUUUUCAAUAUAAAACUUGGUGAAAUGA